rnacentral:rRNA from 1 species
UAAUACAUGCAAGUCGAACGCGUCUCCGUUAAUGAUUUUAGGUGCUUGCACUUGAAAGAUUUAACAUUGAGACGAGUGGCGAACUGGUGAGUAACACGUGGGUAACCUGCCCUUGAAGUAGGGGAUAACACUUGGAAACAGGUGCUAAUACCGUAUAACAACCAAAACCACCUGGUUUUGGUUUAAAAGACGGCUUCGGCUGUCACUUUAGGAUGGACCCGCGGCGUAUUAGCUUGUUGGUAAGGUAACGGCUUACCAAGGCGAUGAUACGUAGCCGACCUGAGAGGGUAAUCGGCCACAUUGGGACUGAGACACGGCCCAAACUCCUACGGGAGGCAGCAGUAGGGAAUCUUCCACAAUGGACGAAAGUCUGAUGGAGCAACGCCGCGUGAGUGAUGAAGGGUUUCGGCUCGUAAAACUCUGUUGUUGGAGAAGAACAGGUGUCAGAGUAACUGUUGACAUCUUGACGGUAUCCAACCAGAAAGCCACGGCUAACUACGUGCCAGCAGCCGCGGUAAUACGUAGGUGGCAAGCGUUGUCCGGAUUUAUUGGGCGUAAAGCGAGCGCAGGCGGUUUUUUAGGUCUGAUGUGAAAGCCUUCGGCUUAACCGGAGAAGUGCAUCGGAAACCGGGAGACUUGAGUGCAGAAGAGGACAGUGGAACUCCAUGUGUAGCGGUGAAAUGCGUAGAUAUAUGGAAGAACACCAGUGGCGAAGGCGGCUGUCUGGUCUGUAACUGACGCUGAGGCUCGAAA